rnacentral:misc_RNA from 1 species
GCAACGGUCCACCUCAUCCAAGCAAAUUUGAACUGACUGGUUCUGUUGAGUUUCCUCUUCUGUAACACCCCAACGUAAGUCAAUUUCAACAAGAUUAAUCAUUCUCUUCUUGCAACGCUCACGCAACUCUGGGAACACGUGGCGUGUCAGCACGUCUCUUUCACCGUGC